rnacentral:lncRNA from 10 species
CUUGGCUGCUCUAUUCACUACCUUUUUAUACCUAUCCAUUCUUUUUCUCUUUUUUUCUAAAGUUUUGUUCCCUUUGAAGACUCUUGCUCUUAAAACAAGGAGUAUCCAAAUUCAUCACUUAAAAGUCAAUCUUCCUACAGGUUUCAUCAUGGAAUUUUUGAAUCUAUUCUGAUUGCACUAGUUAUCCUUUAGUGAAACUAUUUUUAUUUCACAGACUUAGAGUCUCUCGAACUUGGUAUGCAACUCUGGGCAAAAGCAUUUGAAUGUGUGUUUUUCAUUUUGAUUAAGAAAUGAGAGCACUUUGAAGAUACAUCCAUGAUGCUGGCUACCCGUAAAGAAAAUAAACUGAGUGUCAAUGGAACAGACAGAGAAUCAGAGAACAAAAGAAAGUCAAGAGAUUUACCCAAGGGUCUUACUGUUGCCCAGGCUGGAGUAUGGUGGCAUGAUCACCGCUCACUGCAGCAGCCUCUAUCUCCUGAGUUCAAGUGAUCUUCCCACAUCAGUCUCCUGAGUAGCUGGGACUACAGGCAUGCACCACUAUGCCUGGGUAAUUUUUGUAUUUUUUGCAGAGAAGGGGUUUUUCCAUGUUGCCCAGGCUGGUCUCGAACUCUUGAUAUCAAGGGAUCCACUCACCUUGCCUCCCAAACUAUUGAGAUUACAGGUGUGAGCCACUGCAACCAGCCUUGCAGUCAUUAAUCUUUAUGCUGCUCAUAUUAUUGCAGAUUAGGCUGUGGGAUCCUCUCUUAAAAUGGGCUUUUGUGCCCCUUUGACAUGAUCCCAUAUGUUUGUGCUAGCUUUCUAGCAUGAUGGUAUAUGCUGAACAAAUCCAGUAUAUUUCCUGAUCAGACCCGGAAGCAAUUUUUAUCAAGGAGUCCUGGUUUCCUUGAGAGAGAACUGGUAUUUAGAGACCAUAAUGUGAGCUGUAGGAGUGUUUCUUUCUACUGCGUCAUUACUUCUGCGUUUUCGAUGGAAAGAACUAGAAAAUACCCUCCUUCUUUUAGAGAGAAUAAAAUAUGGGUUAUACUGAUAUUUCCAAUUUAAAUAUAAGAUUACAUGAUUGCUACUCAAAUUCUUGGAUUUGAUACUUGAAUCUCUUCUCUUAUUCUAAAAAUCUUGAAUUCUAAUAAAAUCAAUAUAAUUAAUUAUUUUCUUUAUCAUGGAAAGCAUCUAUAAUGAUUUGAAAAUAAUUUCAAAAUUUUGUUAACAAGUCUACAGAAUCUUUCAAAUUUUGUUGCAGUUAUUUUGGAUCUUGGAAUAUAUUCCAUUAGAGAUUUGCUGUUAAGGUACUAUGUUUUAAAAGCUCAUGAAGUAAUUUAUUUCCCUGUUUGAUUGUGCUGUUAAGGUCAUAUGCAGUAGGUUCAUUUUCUGUGGUCUGGUUUUGAUUUUUAAAAAUCACUUUUAAAUUAUUAUUUAAAUUACGUAAAUUAAAAAUGUAUAUGGCUCCAGUCAAAAUUAUGUGCAUAAAUUCAGAAAAGUUUGCUUUCAUUCCUGUCUUAUCCUCCUUUCAUUGGUAAACAUAUCUUAGCCUUAUUCUUCCAUUAAAUCAUUGUGAAAAUAUUAAAAACUACGUAUGAAAAUUUGAUUCUCUCUUUUCUUAUACAAAAGUUAGAAAACUAUUAAUAUUGUUCUCCACUUGUAUUUUUCACUUAACAAUAUAUCCUAGAAAUUACCAGCAUAUAGAUGUCUUCCUUGUCCCAUUUUACCAUUGCAUAGUACUCCCUUGAGUGAACAUGAAUAACAUAGUUAAUUUAACAAGAUUGUUGUAAGACUGCUAUUGCUGGACAUUUGGCUCUUUCUUUUCUAUGAUGAACAACACUUUCAUGCAUAGCUUAUAUAUAUAAAAUUUUCCCCCACUUAAUCUUUGAGAUAGAGUCCUAGAAGUGGGAUUACUGGGUCAAUGGAAAAUAAAUACACAUGUAAUUUGGUUAUAUUUUAUCAAAUUUUCCUUCAUGUGUGUUAUGUAAUUUUGCAUUUCUACCAACAAUACAUGGCAGUACUUGUUUAUCCACAGUUUUAUCAAUGAGAAGUAUGGAUUUUUUGCUAAUUUGAUCAGUGGAAAGUAGUUUCUUAGUGAGUCAACAUUUAUAUCUGUCUUAUCAUGAGUGAGGCUAAAUAUUGUUUUCUGUGUUUAAAGGCCAGUUGAAUUAAUUUUUCUGUAAACUGU